AUACGGAGGAUGCAAGCGUUAUCCGGAUUUAUUGGGUUUAAAGGGUGCGUAGGCUGUUCGGAAAGUCAGGGGUGAAAGCCCGGCGCCUAACGCCGGAACUGCCUUUGAUACUUCCGAGCUGGAAUACGGAUGCCGUGGGAGGAAUGAGUAGUGUAGAGGUGAAAUGCAUUGAUAUUACUCAGAACACCGAUUGCGAAGGCAUCUCACGAAUCCGUCAGUGACUCUGAGGCACGUAAGCGUGGGGAUCAAACAGGAGUUGAUACCCUAGUAGUCCACGCUGUAAACAAUGAUUACUAGGAGUGGGGAGACUGACCCCUUCCUUGCCUUAGUUAACACAAGAAGGAAUCCACCUGGGGAGCGCGGCCGUAAGGUGGAAGCUGAAAUGAAUUGACGGAG
rnacentral:rRNA from 1 species